UACAGAGGUCUCAAGCGUUGUUCGGAUUCAUUGGGCGUAAAGGGUGCGAGUAGGCGGCGCGGUAAGUCGGGUGUGAAAUCUCGGGGCUUAACUCCGAAACUGCAUUCGAUAACUGCCGUGCUUGAGGACUGGAGAGGAGACUGGAAUUUACGGUGUAGCGGUGAAAUGCGUAGAUAUCGAUAGGAAGACCAGUGGCGAAGGCGGGAUCG
rnacentral:rRNA from 1 species